ensembl:lncRNA
UUUUGAUCUUCUUAGGAUGCUUCAUGUCGAGAUCAAUAUUUCCUUUUAUCAAAUACUUUUAUGUUUAUGACCAAAUACCUGUAGAACUGAUGACACUUGACUGAGCCAACGCUGUAGAAAAUGGAAAAGCAAGUCAAGGUAAUAUAUCGGUUCAUCUGAUCUCAUCAGCUUCGGAAUUUGUUGCUGAGAAAGCUUAAUUAACAGCCUCCCGCUGUGCUGCAGUUUGUGAAAUGGAAAAUACUCUGUGCCAGCUGCUAGAAGAUAGAAAAUUCCAAUUGGACGAAUCUUCUCUCUGUCCCAUUGAAUGUGGAAUUCUCUGUGCAAGCUAGUGGCUUAUUUCUUAACACUGACCUCCUUGCUGUAGCAGGAGGAUACAAUUGUGAGACUUCCACGGAUGUCGACUGUGAAACUGAACCCCAUUCCUCAGACUCAGUGAGACUGACAGGCGUCCGUCAUUAAAGCUGCAACUCAAGCUCAUCAUUGGAGCUGAGAGACGGCGCCAUGUGAGAAAGACUGGCAGGUCCCGGUACGAGGCGGACGGCGACUGAGACUCAGUGUAAUAGCAUUAGACCUGCACGGAGAGAAAGGAAGGCUGGCCCGUGGUAAUGAGCAAUUUCCUCUGGGUUAAAUGGUCCUUUGCUCUGCAGCAUGACGUUCCCAGGCUUUGGGCGGAUGCAUUGUGUGAGAACUGGGUUGAACUGAGUGGACGACAGAGAAAUAAUGGGAUUCAAGGACACGGCAAGCAAGCUCCAUGAAGCCUCGAGAUUUUCCCAAGGAGCGAGCUGUGCUGCUCCCAUAUUUGAUGUCUUACCGGGUUUACCGCAGCGGACAUGCAGUUUCACCGAGACAAGAGCCAAAAUACAGGAUCACACACACACAGUGUAUCCUGCUGGUUGCUACGCAUCAUCAUAACGAGAGCGAUUGAUAGAGAUGAAGAGAUACACAGCGAGAGGGGAAUGAAAGCCAUUCCUCCAGUCGGCUGCCGCUUUUUUUCAUGUGCACCAUGGAAGCACUCCAACUCCUCUGGAGCCGGGCCCCCCACAAUCAUCAGGCAUUAUAAAGAGUGAGACACAUCGAGUGCAACUGGGAUAACACACUUUUUUUUUUUAAUUGACAUCUCCGGUUGGACAACAGAUUGCAGACGGGGGAGAAACGCAGCCCUCUAUUUGGCCGCCUCCCCUCUGCAGUCCUUCAUUAUUUGAGGGCAUUAAAACCAAAUGAAUGUCUCCCAGACGGGAACUAAUCCCUAUGGCCUGGUGCUCCGUCUUGGCACCACCACCUUUGAUUAUUCAACAUCAAUCUGCCACAGAGAGAAUGAAAGGAGCACAAUCCGAUUAGUGACAGGUACACUCUCUGAGAUAACAGCAUUUGCUCCCUGAAGACGAAGCCAUCUGCUGGCCCUGGACAUGCUCUCCUCAUCCAUUCAUCCCCACCCAUCCCACCAGUGGUUUCCUAAUCAUUUCUGACAAGCCUCCCUUUGAUUAUUUAGAAACACUGAAGGACAAAAGUAGGGGGUUGACCUGUAGAUUGGAGCCAUCCUUCUCCCAAUCCCUCCUAUUAGCACCUCAAGGCCUUUCCUCAUCAAGCGAGUGGUGGAUUUCAUCUGGUAUUGUGCUGACAGCUCAUAGAUUAGACCCUCAAUCUCAACUACCUCCUCCCUCCCUCACCACCUCUGUCUACCUCUCCAUUGAGAGCUCCAAUCAUUCUUCUCUGGCUAAGUGUCAAUAAACCCACCCACACACACACACACAGGAUCUGAUUCCAGCCCAGGCUCAUUCAGCACUUUGUAGAAAAUGACAAAGUAAAAACUAUUAUAUUUCAAUUUAACAAUACAUUAACUUAAGCAAGAGUUUUAUUAGGGUCUAUUAAAAUGCUAUAUGCCUUGACUGGUAUUUGGAAUGUAGAGGAGUUUAUGAAGUGAAACCUGAUAUAAUUCAAGUGGCUUUUCCUCACCCUCAAAAACCAUUAAAAAAAGCAACAUACUGUAUUUCCCUUAGGAGCUGUUUUGCCAGUUUCGAGUGUCAUAAAAUAGUAGCACUGUGUCAACAAGGAGGUAAAAGGGAGGUGGAGAGCUAAAAUGGAUUAGCGUGGACAGGCCAUCAGGACUAUAGAUGAGUCUCCCAGAAGUGUUUAAAGCACCUGAGAAAUGCUUUCCGUUGUUAUCUACAGGGUAGUCGGAGCCUAUCAAAUGUGAUGAACUCUGACAGAAAAUCAGUGGUCACUGAGCUACUAAAGAAAGCCCCACCUCCCCACAUUCCUCCAAAAUGGAAUACAAUACAGAACAAAAGCUGCUCUGUAAAUUUUCAAUUGGACCAAUUUGGUUCCAGCGCCUCCUGUUUGCUGCGCCUGUCUACAGGUAUCCUGUAAACACAACUAGGAAACCUGCACAAGCAAGUGAAUGAACCAUUCAGGAAUAAUCACAAUUCACUGCCAUGGAUGUUUAGGCAGUAAAUGAACACAAACUGGUUAAAGCGUCUCGAAAGCCAGUUCUCAGAGUGUCAGCAGAAUAUUAAUUCUGCUGACACAAUGCAGGUCUCUAUCGCAUACCACAUUUUGGUAUGUCACAUUAAUGUUGAACCCGACCCUUUAGGCCACGACCACUCACUCCUCGGCAUUGUAUCUCUGCACAUAGUAAAUGAGAGAGUCAAUCUGCGCUAUCCCUGUGGGGACAGGCGCUGUGGAGCAGAGGGACCCACGGGGCCUCGCCAGCUGCCCCAUUAAUCUGUAUUCUCCAGUAGCGUGCUUACGUCUAUCUUUCCCCUGUUGAUGGGCUGGGAGAUGGAGUUUGGGCCAUUAAGAGAUUUUGUGGAACCUGAAAUAAGAGCUUCUGUAGCGUGAAGUAAUGUUGCGGUGUACAGUGAAAAAAAUUCACAUUUCACAUGGGCGCUAAAAAUAAGGGAUGGACUUGAACUGCCAGCUCCUCCAAACCUUCCCUCACAUGUUGUUGGAUCAAAAAGAGGACGAGGGAACGAAGAAAGAAGAGAGAAAGAAACGUAGGAUUUUUUUUUCCAUUAGACUAUGUAUUUAAGCCCAACCUGAAUGCUUCCAUCAUAACAGUCAUACAUAAAUGUUCAAUGAUGGUCGUGUGCUUUUUUCUGUGUUUGUUUGGCUGUUGUGAAAUAUAUGGCAGCAAAAACAGAAGUAAGCUACAUCACAACACUUUAAACAGCAGGACAUUUAUUGAAGCAGUGAGCUGUACUUCCUACAGGGCUGCGUGACAUUCUUUGUCUAAUAACGAGAGGAGUGAGGCAAGACUGAUAAGUAUGUGGAACCAAGGGCUCAAUUUGUUUAAAGAAAGCACAAAACAUGUGUGAAAAAGCUGUUGGUAGCUUCAGUCAAAAAAGCGGGCACUUUAAUGAGACCGUAAAUGAUAUGUGGAGAAAAAGCCUUAAAACAGUCUGUUUUCUCAGAGAUAGGAGUCUAUUUCUGCUCCAGCAUCUUUGCUUUUAGAAAAAUACAUCACCACAUUAAAGCGUAUUCAAGCAAUCAAGGACACUCAACACUAUUACAAUAAAAUAAGCUUUUCCUCAUGAUCACAAAAACAUAAAUAUGUUGGUGGUGUAGGUUUAUUUUUAAUGCACUUCCAUUGCAUAUGCUCACCCUGAUCCGAGCCUCUGAGUGCACUUCCAGAAGAAAUAGAACACAUUUGAUGUUGCUAACCAAGAUAAUAAAUACUGCAGCCAGAAAUCCCGGCAGGAUGCUUAUUCUAUCACUGUUCACUCGUAACUAUCAGUACACAGGGUGAUUUUAUUGGCAUAUGGAUUUAUUUUGUG